AUUGAACGCUGGCGGCAGGCCUAACACAUGCAAGUCGAACGGUAGCACAGAGAGCUUGCUCUCGGGUGACGAGUGGCGGACGGGUGAGUAACGUCUGGGAAACUGCCCGAUGGAGGGGGAUAACUACUGGAAACGGUAGCUAAUACCGCAUAACGUCGCAAGACCAAAGUGGGGGACCUUCGGGCCUCACACCAUCGGAUGUACCCAGAUGGGAUUAGCUAGUAGGUGGGGUAAUGGCUCACCAAGGCGACGAUCCCUAGCUGGUCUGAGAGGAGGACCAGCCACAAUGGAACUGGGACACGGUCCAGACUCCUACGGGAGGCAGCAGUGGGGAAUAUUGCACAAUGGGCGAAAGCCUGAUGCAGCCAUGCCGCGUGUAUGAAGAAGGCCUUCGGGUUGUAAAGUACUUUCAGCGGGGAGGAAGGCGGUGAAGUUAAUAACUUCACCGAUUGACGUUACCCGCAGAAGAAGCACCGGCUAACUCCGUGCCAGCCGCCGCAGUAA
rnacentral:rRNA from 1 species